rnacentral:rRNA from 1 species
GACGAACGCUGGCGGCGUGCCUAAUACAUGCAAGUAGGACGCUGAAGAGAGGAGCUUGCUCUUCUUGGAUGAGUUGCGAACGGGUGAGUAACGCGUAGGUAACCUGCCUUGUAGCGGGGGAUAACUAUUGGAAACGAUAGCUAAUACCGCAUAACAAUGGAUGACACAUGUCAUUUAUUUGAAAGGGGCAAUUGCUCCACUACAAGAUGGACCUGCGUUGUAUUAGCUAGUAGGUGAGGUAAUGGCUCACCUAGGCGACGAUACAUAGCCGACCUGAGAGGGUGAUCGGCCACACUGGGACUGAGACACGGCCCAGACUCCUACGGGAGGCAGCAGUAGGGAAUCUUCGGCAAUGGGGGAAACCCUGACCGAGCAACGCCGCGUGAGUGAAGAAGGUUGUCGGAUCGUAAAGCUCUGUUGUAAGUCAAGAACGGGUGUGAGAGUGGAAAGUUCACACUGUGACGGUAGCUUACCAGAAAGGGACGGCUAACUACGUG